UACGGGGGGGGCAAGCGUUGUUCGGAAUUACUGGGCGUAAAGGGCGCGUAGGCGGCCUGUUAAGUCGAACGUGAAAUCCCCGGGCUCAACCCGGGAACUGCGUCCGAUACUGGCAGGCUUGAAUCCGGGAGAGGGAUGCGGAAUUCCAGGUGUAGCGGUGAAAUGCGUAGAUAUCUGGAGGAACACCGGUGGCGAAGGCGGCAUCCUGGACCGGCAUUGACGCUGAGGCGCGAAAGCCAGGGGGAGCAAAACGGGG
rnacentral:rRNA from 1 species